GUAAUAAAAUUCUCUUAUUCAACAUUUACAGAUUGAAUUACGAGAAUAAGUGGUUGUAAUUGAUUUUAAACAUAUUGAAUCACGAGAAGAAUAGGAAAAAUAUUGCUAUACUUAAGUAUCAAGAUUAAAAUACUGAUGUACCGUUAAACUGAAGGUGGUAAUAAAGUUUAUAAAAUUUGCUCUGGCUGAAUUUUUCAAUAAAAAAACAAUAUUUGUGCCAUGAAUGUAAUCUGUUUUUCAAUGUAAUUUGGAUCAAUGAAAGGUUGGUGUAUUGGCCAAAUCACUUGCAAGCAUCUUGUCUUCAGGCUACCAUACGUAAAGUCACGCUUUUAAAAGUAACUGAAAGCAGCUGAAAAUAAGAAUUUUUUGUUAUGAGACUGCUUUAGAACGGAAUUAUCUGUGCCUCCAAAUUAAAAGGAUGCAGGUUACAAAAAAAGUGACACUGAUGAGAUUGUCUUACAUUUUAUUAUGAUUUUUAUCUUUUAUGCCCAGUUAGCGAUGUAUUUUGUGUAGCCAUGACUACUAAUCUCAGAUAUCUAUGACAUCUGUAGGGUGUAUUCACCGCUACAGAUGUCAUAAUCUAUUUAUAACCAAUUGCUUUUACUCUUCCAUAAUGUCAUAUUUUAAUAAGAAUCACAUUAUGGAAAACCGUCUAAUACAUACACAUGAGGAACUAUUAUACUUUUAGUACAACCAAUUAUAUUACAUUUGUUUUCUUAUUUUAGAUGAACUUUCUUACUUCGGUUGGAGGAGAUGAGAAACAACUUACAGAAUACAA